GAGGGGAGCACUGGAUCCUGGGCUGUGUCCACCUACUCCCUGGGCUCCUGGGCCUGCACCCCUGGAAUCAUGCUCUCGGGCCGUGUAGCCCCCU
rnacentral:pre_miRNA from 1 species